rnacentral:tRNA from 1 species
AAAAAGGUAAGCUAAAUUAAGCUAAUAGGUUCAUACCCUAUCCAUAGAUAUAAAUCUCCUUUUUA